AAAGUCGUAACAAGGUCUCCGUUGGUGAACCAGCGGAGGGAUCAUUACAAGAGGCCGAAAGGCUGCUUCAAACCAUCGCGAACUCGUCCAUGUUGCUUCGGCGGCGCGGGGCCCUCUCCGGGCGCCGCAGGCCCGGCCUCUCCGGAGGUGCGGGGCCGCCCGCCGGAGGUACGAAACCCUGAACUGUACUGUAAUCUCUGAGUAAGCAAGCAAAUAAGUUAAAACUUUCAACAACGGAUCUCUUGGUUCUG
rnacentral:misc_RNA from 1 species